rnacentral:rRNA from 1 species
UACGGAGGAUGCAAGCGUUAUCCGGAAUGAUUGGGCGUAAAGCGUCCGCAGGUGGCAAUGUAAGUCGGCUGUCAAAGCGUCUGGCUCAACCAGAUAAAGGCAGUGGAAACUACAUAGCUAGAGUAAGGUAGGGGUAGAGGGAAUUCCCUGUAUAGCGGUGAAAUGCGUAGAGAUCAGGAAGAACACCGGUGGCGAAAGCGCUCUGCUGGACCUAAACUGACACUGAGGGACGAAAGCUAGGGGAGCGAAUGGG